UACGAAGGGGGCUAGCGUUGCUCGGAAUGACUGGGCGGAAAGGGCGCGUAGGCGGUUUGUACAGUCAGAUGUGAAAUUCCUGGGCUUAACCUGGGGGCUGCAUUUGAUACGUGCAGACUUGAGUGAGGAAGAGGGUUGUGGAAUUCCCAGUGUAGAGGUGAAAUUCGUAGAUAUUGGGAAGAACACCGGUGGCGAAGGCGGCAACCUGGUCCUUGACUGACGCUGAGGCGCGAAAGCGUGGGGAGCAAACAGG
rnacentral:rRNA from 1 species